rnacentral:rRNA from 1 species
AUUGAACGCUGGCGGCAGGCCUAACACAUGCAAGUCGAGCGGAUGAAGGGAGCUUGCUCCUGGAUUCAGCGGCGGACGGGUGAGUAAUGCCUAGGAAUCUGCCUGGUAGUGGGGGAUAACGUCAGGAAACGGGCGCUAAUACCGCAUACGUCCUGAGGGAGAAAGUGGGGGAUCUUCGGACCUCACGCUAUCUGAUGAGCCUAGGCCGGAUUAGCUAGUUGGUGGGGUAAAGGCCUACCAAGGCGACGAUCCGUAACUGGUCUGAGAGGAUGAUCAGUCACACUGGAACUGAGACACGGUCCAGACUCCUACGGGAGGCAGCAGUAGGGAAUAUUGGACAAUGGGCGAAAGCCUGAUCCAGCCAUGCCGCGUGUGUGAAGAAGGUCUUCGGAUUGUAAAGCACUUUAAGUUGGGAGGAAGGGCAGUAAGUUAAUACCUUACUGUUUUGACGUUACCAACAGAAUAAGCACCGGCUAACUUCGUG